rnacentral:lncRNA from 1 species
CAAGAACUUGGCAAUAAUUUAUUUUUCCUUCAAAAUUAGCAUCAUCUUUUCAUAUACAGGUUUUCUCAGAUUUCUUUUGCUUGAGGAAGGACUCUGGAGCUUUGUUUUUGCUGGGCAUAAUAGAAGAUAUAGAAGAUAAAAGAAGAGAGAAACGGUGGCCCACUGCUGCGAUUGGGGAACCUAGUCCUUCCCUUGGUCUAUCAAGUGAGUCAGUGAUGGACGGAUGGAUGGAUGAGCUUACUCUCGUGACCAGAUGGAGGCAGGUUGGAGCUGGGGCGCGUGAUCUUGAAUGGUCUCCUCUGUGAAGAGACGGGGAACAUAACUGGAAGGGAGGACUCAGAAAAGAGACUUGAGCAACGCCUGGAGUCGUCAGUCUCCUGUGGGUGAAAAACGAUAAACAGACUCUCAAGGGAUGCAUCUUGGCGGAGCUAGAAAGGUGCACUUUCCAUUUUGCCAAUCUCCGAGUGAAUUGCUCUGGUAUCAGGCAGGAGGAAGCUGGGGAGAGAUGGUUAAUGUGCUGCUAUGGCCAUCGAGCCAGGGGUUUGUACCCUGUGCGUCCUACUCCACUGCUGGUUUGUGCCCCUCUGCUUCCCAGCUCAUCACCUUGCAGCAUUGGCCACGGCCCUCAGCUGAUCUCCAAGAGCAAGGAUGUUGUCUUGGUGUGAUCUGAAGACACUCUGGAGCUGGAAACACACCAGGAGAAGUUUCUGUUCAUCAUCUUUUUUGCUGUUAAUAAUGUAACUCUAAAUCCAUCUCGGGAAAUCCUUUUUAAUACAGCUGUAGAGACAGGGAAGAGUUAAUUGCGUUCCUCUGCUCUGCUCUGUGUACAUUAUAGGCCAUGAGAGAAAGGGUUUGAAGCCUUUUAGCUGGGAUUUCAAAGCCAGAGAGUAGAACAGCACGUUUAUAGCUGGUUAAUAUAUCUCAGUUCUCAUCAGCAUUUAGUAACCCCCUACCCUGUCUUUACUGCUUUGUUGUUGUUUAUUUUAUUUUAUUUUUUUAAUGCAAACUUAUCUAACAGUAUGUAUUUCAUUAAAAAACAAAACAAAACAAAACAAUACACAUCAGAGCUUGCAUCCUAACACCUUUUAGCAGGAAAGGAAUGAUGUCAAGAAACAGAUUAAGAAAAAGGAACCAGAAAGGAUUUUUGGAAGAGGAAGACUGGAACCUCCUCUUCAGCUCCUAAAUUGCAGAUUUGGUGUUUGAGUUUGUGUCGAUUUACAGGGAGAAACGGGUGGGUAAGAGAGAACUGAGAAUUUACUGACUUCAGACAUGAAGAUCUCCGUAAGACAAAUGCUUGUCACCCUCAUACAUCUUCCCAAUCAGUUGGGAAACAAGACUUAAUCAGUUGAGACGGUCUGAGCAAAUAGGGUUAUCUUGCAGCUCUCUCUAAGAGUGGCCAGAUUAAUACUUAAUUCUGUCGAACAAGAAGUGAAGCCUGGAGAAGGCAGCCUGCCUCGGAGAAGGGCUGCCGUCAGCGCCACAAAGGGGACGAUGAAACGCGAGCGGUCAGGUUCACUUUUGUUUAAAAUCAAUUUCAUUUGCUCUAUCACAACCUGGUUGUGUUUGUAUUUUCAGUAAUGGCUGGGAAUAAUUAAUUCUCCUUCAUUUAACAGAUUCCUUGCUCUCUCAUCACUUGAAAGAAACCCCCAAAUUAUGUUAAAAAAUGACUUUCACAACAAAUUAACUAGAGAUUUAAAACCAGUUGUCGGUGUCCCUUUAAGUCAAAUCCUCUUUCUGCUUAUAGCACAGAUGCAUGAAAGAGGAGGAUGCUGUUCCUGAGCAAGCGUGGAGGAAGAUUGAGUUGUGCGUGGGAGGACAGAACAGGAGAACACUCCAGUUACUUGGGCCACUCCUCCAGCAAAUUUAAUAAGUAUUGUUAGAAAGUACUUUGCAAGGAAAAAUAAAGUUAAUCUCCUAAGCGUAGUUGAAUGAUG